AGAGUUUGAUCCUGGCUCAGAGCGAACUCUGGCGGCAGGCUUAACACAUGCAAGUCGAGCGCCGUAGCAAUACGGAGCGGCAGACGGGAGAGUAACGCGUGGGAACAUACCCUCCGGUACGGAAUAACUCAGGGAAACUUGAGCUAAUACCGUAUACGGCUUAGCGGCGAAAGAUUUAUCGCCGGAGGAUUGGCCCGCGU
rnacentral:rRNA from 1 species